UAGUGAUAGCUGGUUGUUCAGGAAAAGAGUUUUAGCUCUGCCUUAAGUUUUUUUAUUUUAUCAAACAAGCUCAAAAACUUAAGAGUCAUUCAAAUUAGGCACAGCUUAUUUGAAACAGGAUACAACCUCAACCAUUGGGUAAACAAGGGCAAUAAAAAUAAAGUGGGCCCAAAAGCAGCCAUCUUCCAAAAAGCGUCAAAGCUUAAUUACUUAGGCCCAUAAUUUCCAAAACACUCUACAACCCCUCACCAAUACUGAACUAUUUUAUAUCUAUAUAAAAAUAAUUAUGCUAGAACUAGUAACAAGAAGCUGCCCUUCUCCUUAAUGUAAAUAUACACCAAAACGGACACUCCAUUGGUAGUUAACGUAGAUGUAAAACCAUAACAACACAUAACCAGAAAACCUUAUGGCACCCAACGUUACCCUUACACCAGAACAUUACAGGAAAGAUUAAAAGAAAGAGAAGGAACUCGGCAAAUUUUAACCCCGCCUGUUUACCAAAAACAUCGCCUCUUGAUUAAACAUAAGAGGUCCAGCCUGCCCAGUGAUAAUAUUAAACGGCCGCGGUAUACUAACCGUGCGAAGGUAGCAUAAUCACUUGUUCUUUAAAUGGGGACUUGUAUCAACGGCAUCACGAGGGUUAUACUGUCUCCUCUCUCCAAUCAGUGAAACUGAUCCCCCCGUGAAGAAGCGGGGAUUUUACUAUAAGACGAGAAGACCCCAUGGAGCUUUAAACUCGACAUACACUAAGGUAUUAAACCAAUUUAACCAAAAACCUGUACGUCAGUUUUAGGCUGGGGGGGCCACGGAGUAAAACUAAACCUCCACAACAAAUGGGCUAACACCCUAAUCUAAGAUUUAUAAAUCUAAGAAUCACCAAAAUGAUGUUUAAUGACCCGAUAAUUCGAUCAAUGAACCAAGUUACCCUGGGGAUAACAGCGCAAUCUACUUCAAGAGCCCUUAUCGACAAGUGGGUUUACGACCUCGAUGUUGGAUCAGGGUAUCCUAGUGGUGCAACCGCUACUAACGGUUCGCUUGUUCAGCGAUUAAAACCCU
rnacentral:rRNA from 1 species